ensembl:lncRNA
GUCACACUUGGGGGCAGGGAAGGGUUAUUACUAGUGGAGGGAGGACAGAAAUGUUGCUAAACCUCCUACAAUGCAUCCGUCCCCCACAACCAAGAAACUCUCUGGUCCAAAUAUUCAGAAUUGCUGAGGAUGAGACCCCUGGGCUAGACAAAAGACAUUCAGAGCAGGUGUCAUAGUAUUAGAAGGAAAAAAAAUGUAGAAAUUAACUUGUUGGAAUUUAAAAGAAUCAGAUCACAUCUUAUCAACCUCCACCUCACUUAACAUUUGGAUACGAGGUACUUAUGGAGACAGUUUCAUAGACAAAUACUCAUCUGCCUUUGGUACAGAGGACAACCAGGAGACCUGCCAUGUGUCUGGUCCCCGGGGCUCCAGACUGGGCUAGUCCACCUGGUGUUCACUCCUCAGCAUCCUCUGCUGUGUCUCCUUCCUAACACCAGUUGCCAUGAACAUGGUGUCUUUCUUACGUGUGUGAUGCCUCUCCCACUAGAGCGUAAGCCUCAGGAGGCCGGGGACUGAUGCGCCUCCCGUGUAUCCCAGGACCCAGCCCCAGUGUCUGGUGUAGGGAUGGGCUGAGGGGAAACUAAGGGAGGGAAGUCCCACUGCCUGGGCUUAAACUCACCCUCUACUGCUAGCUCACUGUGGACCUGAGACAAGUCACUUCACUUUCAUAAAGACACUGUUCGCUGAUCUACAAAAGUGGGGAUGUAUGGCACCUGCCUCCCAGGUAGAACUGAAUACCUUAAUACAUGCGGAGCACUUAUUUAAUAUUUGUUGAUGGGUGAAGCAUCCAAAAGCAAAACAAAGAUAGGGUUAAAUAUCUGCCUGCAAACCACCAAUGAAGAAACUGAAUGAAAAAAAUACACAUAAAACACUUGGGUUUUCACUUUGUGGGAGCUUCGACCUGUAAGAUUUUUCUUCUUUGUGAUGUAGCAAAUGUCGAAGAGCAGUUUGUUAAUAUGUACAGGCAAAAGUGGUGAACGCCUUAGCAGGAUACACAUUUCUGCCAUAUUGAUUUUACUUCAUAAUAAGUGUUCUACCUGUUUUCUCUGCUAUGCCCAGUUUUCUCACUCUAUUUAUUGCUAUAGGUUAAUUUCAUCUUUUAUUGUCUCCUGACAAAAUCGGAUUUACGACACUCUGGUAAGUCAGCCUCAAAAAGGGCUUUAACAGUUUUCUGUGGUUGAACACCACUACUCUUCUUCCUGUAUAAAUGCCACUUCUUUCUACAGUCUCAGGUUCUUCUGUAGCAUAGGACUUUCUCAAGCACACAGAAGAUUUAAACCUUAAUUGUUUUGUAACUGAUAUUUCCGGCUCUUUUUGGCUACUCUCCUUUUGGUUCUCAGGUCCUCCCUUCUUUUCAUUUUUCCUUGCUUAUUUCCCACGAAUAUAUCUUGCAGAAGCCCAGAAGAGAUGCAUGCUUUCUAAUCAUUCUUUUAAGUAUGCAGUCAUUCACUUGACAUUCAGGAAGCAUUUAUUGAGCACCAAUGUAUUCCAAGCUCUGCUCCCAGCUCCUGUGUAUAGCAGUGAACACGAAGGCGAGGUCUUGCCCUCCCGGAGGAAGUCUGCGAUAUAGGUCAAAGACGCGGCUUAGAUCCCGCGUUGCGGUGGCUGUGGGAUCAGCUAUAGCUCUGAUUCAACCCCUAGCCUGGGAAUUUCCAUAUGCUAUGGGUGUGGCCAUAAAAAGGAAAAAAAAUAAAGAAGCAAAUUCAAUAGGUAAUUUCUGACACCAUAUAAUCAAUUGCAUUAGUUUUCCAUGCCUGGUGUAUAACACAUUACCGAAAACUUGAUGGCUUAAGACAACACAAAGUUAUUAUCUUACAGUUCUGGAGGUCAGACGUCUGACACAGGUCUCAGUGGGCUAACAUCUAAUGUGGGCAGGGCUUCUGUCCUCCUGAAGGAUCCAGAGGAGAAUUCAUGUUCUUGCCUUUUCCAGCAUCUUAAGGGGAGUCCAUAUUCCUUAGCUAGUAGCCCUUUCCUCCAUCUUCAGAGCCAGCAAUGGCCAGUUAAGUCUUUCUUAAAUCAUCUCUCUUGUUGACAUUGACCCUUCAGGUCCCCUCUUCCACAUUUAAAGGACCUUUGCCUCCACCUGGAUAGUCAGGAUAAUGUCUUUAUCUUAAAGCCAACUGAUUAGCCAUGUAUGUUCUAUCAUCAUCUUAACUUCCCCUCUACCACAUUCAGAGGUCUUAGGUAUUAGGGCAUAGACUCUUUCGGGGGGGAGGGGCAUUAAUCUGCCUGCCACAGUGACAGAAGGGGGAGGAUAAUUUUAGUAUCCUAUUCUAUGCCUACAUAGAAUAGAUGUUUAAUAAAGUCUAUACUUCGUAAAUGGAUCAGAACUGCAUGCAUUUACUUCCUGUUAAAUGACCCCAAGAGUUGUUUUCUUUUUUGCAGAAUUGGCGAGAGAUAGGUGGUUUCAGCCUACCUUCCAGGUUAACUCAGAGUUAUCCCACUUCAGAGAGAGGCUCAGGGGCCCGGGCACAUCAGGCUCUGGAGAAGCCGCCCCCUCUCCAUUUCUCUUGCUUCUCCUUGGGGACUGGCUCCUGCCGUAUCAACAAUGCAGGGCCCCUGGUGCUGCUCUUCCUCACUCUUCUCCCAGCAGCCUUUAUUCUCGCAGCUUCCUGAGAGCUCCACCACCAAGACUUCUGUUGGCUGCAGCAAUUUUCCUG